GAGUUUGAUCCUGGUUCAGAUUGAACGCUAGCGGGAUGCCUUACACAUGCAAGUCGAACGGCAGCACGGACUUCGGUCUGGUGGCGAGUGGCGAACGGGUGAGUAAUGUAUCGGAACGUGCCCAGUAGCGGGGGAUAACUACGCGAAAGCGUAGCUAAUACCGCAUACGCUCUACGGGGGAAAGCAGGGGAUCGUAAGACCUUGCACUAUUGGAGCGGCCGAUAUCGGAUUAGCUAGUUGGUGGGGUAACGGCUCACCAAGGCGACGAUCCGUAGCUGGUUUGAGAGGACGACCAGCCACACUGGGACUGAGACACGGCCCAGACUCCUACGGGAGGCAGCAGUGGGGAAUUUUGGACAAUGGGGGAAACCCUGAUCCAGCCAUCCCGCGUGUGCGAUGAAGGCCUUCGGGUUGUAAAGCACUUUUGGCAGGAAAGAAACGUCAUGGGUUAAUACCCCGUGAAACUGACGGUACCUGCAGAAUAAGCACCGGCUAACUACGUGCCAGCAGCCGCGGUAAUACGUAGGGUGCAAGCGUUAAUCGGAAUUACUGGGCGUAAAGCGUGCGCAGGCGGUUCGGAAAGAAAGAUGUGAAAUCCCAGAGCUUAACUUUGGAACUGCAUUUUUAACUACCGGGCUAGAGUGUGUCAGAGGGAGGUGGAAUUCCGCGUGUAGCAGUGAAAUGCGUAGAUAUGCGGAGGAACACCGAUGGCGAAGGCAGCCUCCUGGGAUAACACUGACGCUCAUGCACGAAAGCGUGGGGAGCAAACAGGAUUAGAUAC
rnacentral:rRNA from 1 species